rnacentral:rRNA from 1 species
CGUUUGACCUCAAAUCAGGUAGGACUACCCGCUGAACUUAAGC